UACGGAGGGUGCAAGCGUUGUUCGGAAUUACUGGGCGUAAAGCGCGUGUAGGCGGUUUCCUCAGUCUGGUGUGAAAGCCCGGGGCUCACCCCCGGAAGUGCAUCGGAUACUGGGAGACUAGAGUACCGGAGAGGAGGGUGGAAUUCAUGGUGUAGCAGUGAAAUGCGUAGAUAUCGUAAGGAAGACCAGUGGCGAAGGCGGGUCUCUGGACAGUUCCUGACACUGAGACACGAAGGCCAGGGGAGCAAACGGG
rnacentral:rRNA from 1 species